UCAGUUUGACCGUUUGACAGUUGUGAAAAGUCCUUUAUGCCCUUGACCCUUAACAUCUUCUAUACUUAAUCUCAGUUCAUCAUGAUUCGAACAGUUUCAUCACACUUCUCAACCAAAUCUGUGAAGAAAAUCUCUCCCAUCUCCCAACACCGAUUAUCAUCAUCAUCAUCUGCAUCUUCCGAACAAUACAUCUUCAUCAUCUUCAUCAUCUUUAUUAGCUUCAUCAGCUUCAUCAUCUUCAUCGAUAACAUUCCAAGAAUGGCUGCGGAUGUAAAGAUACGCAAAACACCAACUACGAAGGCGAGAACACUUGACAACCUCCUAGAAGAUGGUGCGGUGCACAUAAGGAAGUGAUUGAUAU